UGGGGAAUCUUGCACAAUGGGGGAAACCCUGAUGCAGCGACGCCGCGUGAACGAUGAAGCCCUUCGGGGUUUAAAGUUCUUUCGACAGGAACGAUAAGGACGGUACCUGGUGAAGAAGCUGCGGCUAACUCCGUGCCAGCAGCCGCGGUAAUACGUAGGCAGCGAGCGUUGUUCGGAGUUACUGGGCGUAAAGAGUGCGUAGGCGGCGAGCCAAGUUUGGUGUGAAAUCUCCCGGCUUAACCGGGUGGGUGCGCCGAAAACUGGUUGGCUGGAGUCUGGGCGAGGACAGCGGAAUUCCUGUUGUAGCGGUGAAAUGCGUAGAUAUCAUGAGGAACACC
rnacentral:rRNA from 1 species